rfam:Valsa mali var. pyri strain SXYL134 unplaced genomic scaffold scaffold00016, whole genome shotgun sequence.
GGUCCCGUAGCUCAGCUGGUUAGAGCGUCGUACUAAUACUUCCCCAAGUGGGAAAUAUCAGUGAUGCGAAGGUCGCGAGUUCGAUCCUCUCCGGGACCA